rnacentral:rRNA from 1 species
ACGUAGGGUGCGAGCGUUAAUCGGAAUUACUGGGCGUAAAGCGUGCGCAGGCGGUUGUGCAAGACAGAUGUGAAAUCCCCGGGCUUAACCUGGGAACUGCAUUUGUGACUGCACGGCUAGAGUGCGGCAGAGGGGAGUGGAAUUCCGCGUGUAGCAGUGAAAUGCGUAGAUAUGCGGAGGAACACCGAUGGCGAAGGCAGCUCCCUGGGCCUGCACUGACGCUCAUGCACGAAAGCGUGGGGAGCAAACAGG